rnacentral:rRNA from 1 species
GACGAACGCUGGCGGCGUGCCUAAUACAUGCAAGUAGAACGCUGAAGGAGGAGCUUGCUUCUCUGGAUGAGUUGCGAACGGGUGAGUAACGCGUAGGUAACCUGCCUGGUAGCGGGGGAUAACUAUUGGAAACGAUAGCUAAUACCGCAUAAUAUUGACUAUUGCAUGAUAGUCAGUUGAAAGGUGCAACUGCACCACUACCAGAUGGACCUGCGUUGUAUUAGCUAGUUGGUGGGGUAACGGCUCACCAAGGCGACGAUACAUAGCCGACCUGAGAGGGGGAUCGGCCACACUGGGACUGAGACACGGCCCAGACGCCUACGGGAGGCAGCAGUAGGGAAUCUUCGGCAAUGGACGGAAGUCUGACCGAGCAACGCCGCGUGAGUGAAGAAGGUUGUCGGAUCGUAAAGCUCGGUUGUAAGAGAAGAACGAGUGUGAGAGUGGAAAGCUCACACUGUGACGGUAUCUUACCAGAAAGGGACGGCUAACUACGUG